GCCGAGUUGCUCACGUGACCGAGAUCUCACAUGACGUAGGCGCUCACGUGAUCAAUCGCUUACGUGAGCAGAAGUAGUUCUGGUCGUCGUCUAUCGUCUCGCUAUAGCCCUUUGAGGGAAGAAGAAGGAAAAUCCUCCGGUCUCGUUGGAGUGCUGCAAGCAGACAUUUUUUAAGUCUUUCUGUCGACCAGAUUCGUGGAAGAAACUCUAGCAGGGUCAAAGGGUAUGUGAAUUUUUAUUUUUAUUUUUUUUACAUAAAUGGUUUUGAUCAUGAAUC
ensembl:lncRNA